CCGGGGUGGUUGCUAAGGUGUUGCUAGGUGGUUGCUAGGUGGUUGCUAAGGUGUUGCUAUGCGGUUGCUAAGGUGUUGCUAUGGUAUCUGGGGUGGUUGCUAAGGUGUUGCUAUGGUAUCCGGGGUGGUUGCUAAGGUGUUGCUAGGUGGUUGCUAAGGUGUUGCUAUGGUAUCCAGGGUGGUUGGUAAGGUGUUGCUAGGUGGUUGCUAAGGUGUUGCUAUGGUAUCCGGGGUGUUGCCAAGGUGUUGCUAGGUGGUUGCUAGGGUGUUGCUAGGCGGUUGCUAGGCGGUUGCUAUGGUAUCCGGGGUGGUUGCUAAGGUGUUGCUAGGUGGUUGCUAGGUGGUUGCUAAGGUGUUGCUAGGUGGUUGCUAAAGUGUUGCUAUGGUAUCCGGGGUGCUUGCUAAGGUGUUGCUAGGCGGUUGCUAUGGUAUCUGGGUUGGUUGCUAAGGUGUUGCUAGGUGGUUGCUAAGGUGUUGCUAGAUGGUUGCUAAGGUGUUGCUAUGGUAUCCGGGGUGGUUGCUAAGGUGUUGCUAGGUGGUUGCUAGGCGGUUGCUAAGGUGUUGCUAUGGUAUCCGAGGUGGUUGCUAAAUGGUUACUAGGCAGUUGCUAACGUAUUCCACAUGGUUGCUAAGUGGUUGCUAGGCACUUGCUAAUGUUUUCCAGGUGGUUGCUAAGGUGUACCUAACUGGUUGCUAGGCAGUUGCUAAUUUUUCUAAAGUGGUUGCUAAGCAGUUGCUAGGCAGUUGCUAACGUUUUCCAGGUGGUUGCUAAGGUGUUGCUAACUGGUUGCUAGGCAGUUGCUAACGUAUUCCACAUGGUUGCUAAGUGGUUGCUAGGCAGUUGUGAUCAUUUCUAAAGUGGUUGCUAAGUGGUUUC